CAAACAACAGUAACCGAUGGAACAAAUCUUCCUCUUCUCUCCCAUAAAAGCACUAGACCUGCGUUGUCUCCAUCAUCCUCAUCCCCACCAUAACUGGGGAGGCGGUGCCCCUGCUCUGAUAUGAAUCCCCACAGGUGAGCCAUCCCACUUAGCUUUCUGAUUUAUCAGAUUUUCACUCCAUGGGGCGGAUUUGCUAGCCUGUGUCAUCCACGCUCAUCGCCGGGUUGAACGCGUGUGCUGAACGAAACUAACCUCGAGCCCUGGCAUGCGCCAACACUCCACUUCAUCCCGCGCGUCAAUUCAGGAUUUCAGGUUGUGCUCCGCCUGGCUCGAGAGUUCAUCCAUAAAUCUCCCCGCCACCUGAUUUGAUUGGAUUUUGGUUGGAUUAUACAAGCUGCUCGAGAUCCACAAAAUUCGUUGAGAAGCGACCACCCGCAUCUGAAAUUCAUUGAGGAACACCACGGGUAGAGAUCUGGAAAAUUUGUGCUCUCCGAAUCUCCAAACAUGUUAUAUUUUCAUCAGGAUCGCUGCCACCAUAAGGAACUUUUUUCCGACAGUCUUGUGGUUCAUACAAACCUCGAUUGGGCUGCCAUUUAUAGUGGGAUAAAAGGUCCUCCAAAUUAUGCUAGCUGAAUAACUUCUGUCAACAGCAUACAAUUGGUGCUCUAAGCACAUGCUUUGUAUUCUUCUUGCAGGUUAAUGUUACAAGUGCAUUAGAAAAAGAAGUAUUCUGCGUUGAUUUUUGUACCAUUGCUCCGGGUUGUGUUACAAAAUGUAUGAAUGUAUUCGCUCAAUACACAAUCUUGGCCAUGAGUCACAAGAAGGUUCUUCAUGUCUGCAUUCUUGCUCAGCUAUGUGCAAUUACGUACCAACUACUGAGCAUAUCUUUUGAGGUCUGAAUCAAGUUUGAUUGACCUUGGCUACCCCACAGGUGAGCCAUCCCACUUAGGUUUCUGAUUUAUCAGAUUUUCACUCCAUGGGGCGGAUUUGCUGGCCUGUGUCAUCCACGCUCAUCGCCGGGUUGAACGCGUGUGCUGAACGAAACUAACCUCGAGCCCUGGCAUGCGCCAACACUCCACUUCAUCCCGCGCGUCAAUUCAGGAUUUCAGGUUGUGCUCCGCCUGGCUCGAGAGUUCAUCCAUAAAUCUCCCUGCCACCUGAUUUGAUUGGAUUUUGGUUGGAUUAUACAAGCUGCUCGAGAUCCACAAAAUUCGUUGAGAAGCGACCACCCGCAUCUGAAAUUCGUUGAGGAACACCACGGGUAGAGAUCUGGAAAAUUCGUGCUCUCCGAAUCUCCAAAGUAAGAGUAGCUCUCUGCAUUCAUAGUAAAAUUUCGGUCCCUCAUUUGUGUUCAUGUUCAUCUUCUAAUCCACCUCCAUCUUCUUGCCACUUUCUGCAAUCAUGUUACUUUCUUGCUGUGUGAUAAAAUUCCCACACGAACUGACAUCCAUGCCCUGGAUUUUUAUGCAUCAAUCAUAUGUGUAUUGUUUAACUGAUGAUCUUCUAAUGUACGAUGACUCACAGUUUUAAGCCGCUGUUUUCAUGGCAGCAUGUUAUAUUUUCAUCAGGAUCGCUGCCACCAUAAGGAACUUUUUUCCGACAGUCUCGUGGUUCAUACAAACCUCGAUUGGGCUGCCAUUUAUAGUGGGAUAAAAGGUCCUCCAAAUUAUGCUAGCUGAAUAACUUCUGUCAACAGCAUACAAUUGGUGCUCUAAGCACAUGCUUUGUAUUCUUCUUGCAGGUUAAUGUUACAAGUGCAUUAGAAAAAGAAGUAUUCUGCGUUGAUUUUUGUACCAUUGCUCCGGGUUGUGUUACAAAAUGUAUGAAUGUAUUCGCUCAAUACACAAUCUUGGCCAUGAGUCACAAGAAGGUUCUUCAUGUCUGCAUUCUUGCUCAGCUAUGUGCAAUUACGUACCAACUACUGAGCAUAUCUUUUGAGGUCUGAAUCAAGUUUGAUUGACCUUGGCUAUUUCUAUGAAUAUGUAGACAUUAUUUACCCACAGCACUAGCACAACAAUCGUGAUGCUAUCCACCUUUUAUUCAAUUUAGUAUAUUGCAAGAUGCCCUCUUUAUCUUCCAAUUCAGUCAGGUGAUGUUGUACCAUAUAUGAAGACUGCAGAGAAGUCUGUCUUCAGUUCUUUACCAAGGAAUGCAGAGAAGUCAGUCUUCUGUUCUUUACCAAGGAAUGGAAAGAAGACAUUUUCAUAUAAUACUACUGCCAACCGCAUUGGAUCUACGAUGAUAGUAAAAAAAGAAGAAUACUCUGUCUUCAUUCCUGAUGCCGCCAAGUCAUCAAUAAGGAAAUGCCAGAUUGAUGGGCUUCAUUGGUCAAUAGUGAAGUUAAGUGAACAGUAUGGAUGAUCAAUAUACUUUAGAUUUCCUUUUUCCCCAUUACAUUGGUUCUUUUCUAUUUGUUGUCAUACAUAUUGACACCACUUGAAUCAAUGAUAUACUGAAAUUGUUCCCGUCAUUUGACAAGGUUUGUACUGAGUUUUGAAAACGACAUUGUAUUCAAUAAUUUGAGCAAUUGAGAACUAUCAUUCAUGUCAA